AUUGAACGCUGGCGGCAUGCCUUACACAUGCAAGUCGAACGGCAGCAUGAUCUAGCUUGCUAGAUUGAUGGCGAGUGGCGAACGGGUGAGUCAUACAUCGGAACGUGCCCUGUAGUGGGGGAUAACUAGUCGAAAGAUUAGCUAAUACCGCAUACGACCUGAGGGUGAAAGUGGGGGACCGCAAGGCCUCAUGCUAUAGGAGCGGCCGAUGUCUGAUUAGCUAGUUGGUGAGGUAAAGGCUCACCAAGGCGACGAUCAGUAGCUGGUCUGAGAGGACGAUCAGCCACACUGGGACUGAGACACGGCCCAGACUCCUACGGGAGGCAGCAGUGGGGAAUGUUGGACAAUGGGCGAAAGCCUGAUCCAGCAAUGCCGCGUGUGUGAAGAAGGCCUUCGGGUUGUAAAGCACUUUUGUCAGGAAAGAAAUGGCUCUGGUUAAUACCUGGGGUCGAUGACGGUACCGGAAGAAUAAGGACCGGCUAACUACGUG
rnacentral:rRNA from 1 species